AGUUAUGUUACAAAGGUGGUGGAUCCAUCAAGAGCAUUGAGCUCAAGUCGCCGGCGAAACCCAAGGAAUCGGAGAAGAAACCCGACAAACCUAAAGAAGCCGAGAAGCCGAAAGAAGCUGAGAAGAAGCCGGAAAAACCCAAAGAAGCUGAGAAGAAGCCGGAAAAACCCAAAGAUCCUGAGAAGAAGCCGGAAAAACCCAAAGAUCCUGCUCCUGAGAAGAAGCCGGAAAAACCCAAAGAACCUGCUCCUGGGAAGAGACCGCCAAAGCCCAAAGACGGUGGUGAGACGAAACCGGAUAUACCUAGAGAGGUGGCGUCGCAGCAGAAUGUUGCGGCACCUUCUCCUUUACCGCCGAUGACGUAUGCAGUUGGGUAUACUUGCUCCGAGGGUUAUUAUAAUGGUUAUGGUGGAGGACCUAGCUAUUAUGGUGGACCACCCCAACAACCGUUCCCAUAUUACGAGACUUACGGUAGGCCUGUUUAUGACAGCUGGGGUGGCGGCGGCGGUGGCUACUACAGGUACGGCGGCCGUACCGGUGAAUGUUUUAGUGAAGAAAACCCUCAAGGUUGCUCGAUCAUGUAAAAAAACCGCGGGAAUUCGUUAUACUAUAAUGGUAAUAAUAAAUUCUCUUGUCUACUGGUGUAUGAAUCUGGGGGAGUCAUUUUGUGGAUUUUUAUUUAUUUCUAGUUUUAUUGAGUUUAUAAAAGUCGGUAAAGAUCAUUAACAAGGUUGGUGGCGUUGGUGGUGGCGGCGACAACGGCGGCGGUAGUGGUGGUGUGCUCCAGGCUUGCAAAAAGUUUGUUUACCAUAGUUUUAAAUUUUAAUAAAUAAAAAUGAUGUAUCUUUUUAUCUGUCAGAGUCUUUUGUUUUUAAUUAUAUGAAGGAAUUCAUUUGACAACAAAAUAAUCAUGGAAGGAACCUUCUCAAAUGUAAACUUAGAUUAUAAUAAUGUAGUAUGCUUAUUAAUUUUACAAUCACCAAGUCUAAAUGAAGUAUUUUUUAUUAUUUUAAUUUUCUAUUUUUGUCUUUUAAUGAGAAUUAAUAAUUUAAUUCUAUUGUUAAUUAUUGUCAUUAUAGGAAAAUGUAGAUUGGAGUGCCUAGAGUUUUAUUUAAGGGUUAAAAGAGGGAUUAUGAACCAAGAUCACCUUUGUUUUUACCCUUGUAAAGUUCAUGACUGCCUUCUUAACGAUUUCACCUCUAAAAUUUGAAAUGCAAAGAGUGUUAUAUUACACCUAACACUUAUCGAUAUUUUAAGUUAGCAUUUUAAUUUAUCAAGUAUUACUCAAUUAGAACUAACUUCAUUUUUCAAAAAUACAAGAGAGCAAGUUUUGAUAAUUAAAACACGACAAUGAACUUUUGAAUUUUUGUAAAGUAGAGGGAAAAUUUCGUAAUUAUACCUUAUCUUUAAGAAGCUUUGCAAAAUGUAUGAUAAUAAUAUAUAUAGAGACAUAGUGGUUCAAAAACAAAAAGCCAAAUCAAUUGGAUAAUAAUGGUACCAAAGCAUCCACGAGACAAUGUCACUAACGGUGGGCGCCUCCCUAUGGUUAUCCGGUCCCCAAACAGGCGGGCGAUGGCGUCAAAAUUACCAAUCUAGCGCUUAUCCUUAUAUAGAGUAGGCAACCUAGCUUAACCUAGACACUCUUAGUUUCCUCCCAUGGUUUCAAAUCUUAAUACACUCCAAACUUUAAUUAUUGAGAUAGAAAUCGAGUUUGAUUUGAAUUUUGAUUAAGUUGAUUUAAUUUUUUUUAAUUGAAUAAUAAUAAAUUUUGAUUUUUAUAUAUAUUGUUAUAAUGCAAUUGAGAAUUGUUUAGUACGAUAAUUUACACUAUAAGAAUGCGAAGAGCUACUGAAAUGGUUGCGAUUUAUAUUGUGAAAGUGUGAAAAGUCAUUGUUCUUGGUGAUUGGAGGAUGUCGAGUUAGUAUAUGUAAAGGAGAGAAUUUUGCUUAAUUUAAGAAUAUUUUUCAAAAGUGCUUUUAAGGAAAAAAAAAUACUUAUGAGAAGAAGUUAAAAUUUACAAUUUAAAAAAAAAAAAGAUUUUUUGGGUCAAUUUUUUAUUUGGAAUAAGCAUUUUUUUUUCUCAAAAAAUUAAGAAUACUUUUGUCCCAAAUUUUUUUUUUAAAAGCAAUACAAAAAUGACCUUAAAUUGGCACAGUAUAUUUAAUCAAUUUUGGUUUGAGCAGGUUCAGCAAUUUUUUUUUAUUAUAUGUUUGAUUUUGUUGGUGUAAAAUAAAUCUUAAUUAUUUGUGUUUCGGUUCUUUUAAAAUGAUAUAAAAGUUUUAUUAUUUAAAAAUAUUUAAUUUAGUGAAAUUUAAUUGAGUAUUGAUAUAAAUAAAUGAUAUUAAAAUAUAUACCAAAUAUUUACAAAUCAAACUGAAAGUUUUGAAAAUAUUUUAUUUCAUAUUUAGAAUUUAAUAAAAUAUUCACCACUGAAGUACCCAAGUUUAAUAUUUAUUUAAAGGGAGUAAUUAAUAUUGAAUUUAUUUAAAUGGAAAAUUGGUGAUAUACUUCAAGACUGGUUUCUAAAUAUAUAUUAUAAAUUUUGAUUUUGAUUCCAUGAUUUUGAUGAAAAAUAUGCAUUAAGUUUGAUAUAUUAAUAUUAAUGGCAAAAAAAUCAUAUUUAAAACAUAAUUUAGAAAACGAGAUUUACUUAGGAAAAUACUUAAAAUUUUUAUAUAUGCUUUGAUGACGGAUUUUUAGUAAAACUUUCUAAAAUUUAAUAUUAUUUUAAAUAAGAAUUAAUUAUAAACAUUUUAAAUAAAUAAGCUUAAAUUCACUUUAAGGUAAGCUUUUAAUUUAUAUAUAUAAGGGAUGGUUUGGUAAUACUUUUGAAAAGUGAUUUUCAAAAGUAUUGUAAAAAAAUAUUUUCGGAAAGUUUAGUUUAAAAUUUGAGUGUUUAACAUUGCUAUCAAAAAAUAUUUUUGAGAAAUAAAAUGUCUAUUUUAGACAUGUUAUUAUUAAAGAAUAAAUAUGUAUUUAAAUAAUAUUUAAAUUAGUUAAUAUUAUUAUAUUUUAGUAAGAAUAUAAAAAAAUUAUUAUAAUUUGUUAAUUUUUUAAUAUAUGAAAUAUAAAUUUUAAAUAUUUUUAAAUAAUAAAUAUUAAUUAUUUAUAAAAUUUAAAGAGAAUAUAUAAACUAUAUUUUAAAUAUUUAAAUAUAAUCAUUAAAUAUUUAUAAUUAAUAUUUUAAAAAAUAUUUUUUAAUUAAUAAUUUUAAUAAAUUUGUACUAAAAGAAAAAUACUAUGUUAUUAUAGUGGUGAAAAAUUAGUAAGUAAAAGUCUUUUCGGAUAGUAAAAAGUUAAAAAUUUUAACUUUUACUUUUUAGAAAAGCCAAAUAUUAUUAAGCAUUUCAGAACAGUAGCUAAGCCUAAGUAUCAGCCUUUCGCUAUCUCAGUACUAUUUUCUAACACUUUUGCAUUUGCUUCUUUCUUUUUCACACCAGAUCUGGGGAUCCAAGCUAUGGCUGAAAAGGUUCCUAAAAUCUCAUCCUUUUUCUCUUCAACAUUUAAAUCCGAUGCCCAUUUCUUUUUCUUUUUUUAAUUUCUUUUAUUGUUUUUCAUGCUCCUCUGUUUCCAAUUCCUCUUUGUCUCUGUUAACCAGAUUCGUUAGCUAAUGCUAAUAAUUCAUGUAAAGUUUUUCUUUUGUAGGUGACGAUAAUGGUGCUGAAGGUCGACCUUCAGUGCAGGAAAUGUUACAAGAAGGUCAAGAAAGUGCUCUGUAAAUUCCCUCGUGAGUUUUCUAUUUUUGACUUUUUUUUUCAUGGAUUUCUGCAUAUUAUUUGUAACAUUUUUAAUUAUUUGUUCAUUGAGUUUAACGUUGAGAAAUGGUGUCUGAGUUUAUUUUUCUUUUUUCUUUUUUUGUGAACAAGAGAAAUACGAGACCAGAUAUACGAUGAAAAGACUAAUACGGUGACCAUCAAGGUGGUAUGCUGUAGCCCGGAGAAGAUCAGGGACAAGUUAUGUUACAAAGGUGGUGGAUCCAUCAAGAGCAUUGAGCUCAAGUCGCCGGCGAAGCCCAAGGAACCGGAGAAGAAACCCGACAAACCUAAAGAAGCCGAGAAGUCGAAAGAAGCUGGGAAGAAACCGCCAAAGCCCAAAGACGGUGGUGAGACGAAACCGGAUAUACCUAGAGAGGUGGCGUCGCAGCAGAAGGUUGCGGCACCUGCUCCUUUACCGCCGAUGACGUAUGCAGUUGGGUAUAAUUGCUCCGAGGGUUAUUAUAAUGGCUAUGGUGGAGGACCUACCUAUUAUGGUGGACCACCCCAACAACCGUUCCCAUGUUACGAGACUUACGGUAGGCCUGUUUAUGACAGCUGGGGCGGCGGCGGCGGAUACUACCGGUACGGCGGCCGUACCGGUGAUUGUGUUAGUGAAGAAAACCCACAAGGUUGCUCGAUC
rnacentral:lncRNA from 1 species